UACGGAGGGGGCAAACGUUGCUCGGAAUCAUUGGGCGUAAAGCGCACGUAGGCGGCCGACUAAGUCGGGUGUGAAAGCCCAGGGCUCAACCCUGGAAGUGCACUCGAAACUGGUCGGCUUGAAUAUGGAAGAGGGUCGCGGAAUUCCCGGUGUAGAGGUGAAAUUCGUAGAUAUCGGGAGGAACACCAGUGGCGAAGGCGGCGACCUGGGCCAAUAUUGACGCUGAGGUGCGAAAGCGUGGGGAGCAAACAGG
rnacentral:rRNA from 1 species